rnacentral:rRNA from 1 species
GACGAACGCUGGCGGCGUGCUUAACACAUGCAAGUCGAACGGAAAGGCCCUGCUUUUGUGGGGUGCUCGAGUGGCGAACGGGUGAGUAACACGUGAGUAACCUGCCCUUGACUUUGGGAUAACUUCAGGAAACUGGGGCUAAUACCGGAUAGGAGCUCCUGCUGCAGGGUGGGGGUUGGAAAGUUUCGGCGGUUGGGGAUGGACUCGCGGCUUACCAGCUUGUUGGUGGGGUAGUGGCUUACCAAGGCUUUGACGGGUAGCCGGCCUGAGAGGGUGACCGGGCACAUUGGGACUGAGAUACGGCCCAGACUCCUACGGGAGGCAGAAGUGGGGAAUAUUGCACAAUGGGCGGAAGCCUGAGGCAGCAACGCCGCGUGCGGGAUGACGGCCUUCGGGUUGUAAACCGCUUUCGCCUGUGACGAAGCGUGAGUGACGGUAAUGGGUAAAGAAGCACCGGCUAACUACGUG